rnacentral:rRNA from 1 species
UACGUAGGCAGCAAGCGUUGUUCGGAAUUACUGGGCGUAAAGAGUGUGUAGGCGGUUUUCUACGUUCGGUGUGAAAUCUCCCGGCUUAACUGGGAGGGUGCGCCGGAAACUGGAGGACUGGAGUGCCGGAGAGGAUAGCGGAAUUCCCGGUGUAGCGGUGAAAUGCGUAGAGAUCGGGAGGAACACCAGAGGCGAAGGCGGCGACCUGGACAGACACUGACACUCAAAUACGAAAGCGUGGGGAGCAAACAGG